rnacentral:rRNA from 1 species
UACGUAGGGUGCAAGCGUUAAUCGGAAUUACUGGGCGUAAAGCGUGCGCAGGCGGUAAUGUAAGACAGAUGUGAAAUCCCCGGGCUCAACCCUGGGAACUGCAUUUGUGACUGCAUUGCUGGAGUGCGGCAGAGGGGGAUGGAAUUCCACGUGUAGCAGUGAAAUGCGUAGAGAUGUGGAGGAACACCGAUGGCGAAGGCAGCCUCCUGGGCCAGCACUGACGCUCAUGCACGAAAGCGUGGGGAGCAAACAGGA